UUUGCUUUACUUUGGCAAACAUGGAGUCAUGUUACCCACAUCAUCUGGUACUUUUCUUUUAAAUUUAUGUUGCCGUCUACCCAAGAGUAUCUCUCUUGGUCAGUGAGUAGAGAUCUGAGACACGUCUAGAGUGGCUGUGUGAUGUCUAUACGGUGGGACUGAUUCAGUCAUUUCCCUAUUGUCAGGCUUUCAAAUGGUUUCUGUCUUGCUCUUCCCUCCCCCAGUACAAACAACGCUUUAAUGACCACGCUUUUGCGUGUAUCCUCCUCCGCGUGUGUUUAUUUGCAUGGGACGGACUUCUGAGUAUGUAUUUGCCAAGUCAAACACUACAUGGACUUUAAAUCUCAAUAGAUGUGCCAGUGUUCUCUCAAAAAGCUUUUUGUCCUAAACGAGAACCCAGGUGCUACUGAGAACCUGCAAGCUGGUAGGUGUGGCUGAGGAAUGGGAGCAUUGUUCAGAAGGAACUGGGGGCCUUGAGGGGCUGGUGCGUGUCUUGCUGACAGAGGUGAGGACUCUCCAGAGCCUAGGGACGGCCUUGCACAGAGCCACAGAGACAGGAGCAAGCACUGCCUACUGAGCGGCUGUCAGGGAAGGGACUAAACCACGCCUUUGGUCCACCAGGACCAUCUUCAUUCCCAGCACCCAGCCUGGUCCAGGGCGCAUGGAAGACGUCCAUAAAAUAUUUCUUGAAUAACCGAUAAAGGAGAAUUCAAUGAUGACAAGCAUUUCAACCAUGGAGAUGCAUGCUGAUUAUAGGACUGGGAAAGCCUUGCAUAUCUGUCUACAAAUAUCGGUGUGCUGGUAAACAUUCAACAGCCAGCUUUCUGGGAAGAAAACGUCCCUGUUUGCAGUACCUGAUCACUGUUGGCGUGAAUACCACAACCACGGCCAACUUCAAACCAUGGAUGUGCGGGGCAUCAUCACGUGACGUGGGGAAGAGGCUCACCACGGACCCCCACCAGCCGGUCCUAACUGGUGAUGGCACCCCGCUCUCUGUAAGCUGCUGUCUGAAUUUGUUACUUUCUAAAAAUUAAAUUCCAAGGAUUAUUGUGCCACUUUUAUCAAACAACUACCAUUUGAUCAUCUAUCGAAGCCACUAAGAGACUACACAGGUAUAAUUCCAGCUACCCACUGGAAAGGAAGAGGAAAAAUCACCCACUUUCACAUCCCGCUCAGAUACAAUGGCACAGCUGAGCCAUCGCUCCCUCCUCUCCUUUCGGCUGCGAAUCAGGCUGCCAGGCUGUCGGUACCAACAGCAGACACAACCUUGCAAAGGACCUCGUGAGAGCUGUUGAUGGCGAAAUUAAACCCAGAGCGCACUGAGGCAUUGGCGUCCAUGAAGUCCCCUGCCUACGUCCUCCUGAAGCCUGGAGAGACUGUGAAGUGUCAGGAAGCAGGGACUGGCUGGAUCUGCAGCCUGGCUGCACUGGUGCUGCCCCGCCUGGCAAGGCCCCACCCGGGAAGGCCGAGAGCAGCAGGCUGUACACCUUUUCUCCUCCGCUGGGGAAGCGCCCCUGGAAAAGGAAGAUAUUCUGGCCAAAUUUUCUUGUAAACAGGCACUGGCAGCCCUCUAGGCAAACACACCGUGCUGUUUGUAGUGGGAGAAUCCUUAGCUGUGUGAUGCCUGGGCCGGAUGACCUGAUCUGUCUCGAGCUGAUGACCAGUCACACCUGCAGUUUGUGGGUACAAUGGGAUUUUGCUCCCUAAAAAGCAUCACGCAGUCUAUGUAAUAUUGCAGUUUAAAGUGGACAGUUUCACGAAGAGACAUCUUUCUGUGUGACUGAUGCUCUACACACACCAUUCAGAGGCCCUGCUGGUCGAUCAGGACCAGACCUAGUCCCAGGGUGGCAGCAAGAAAGAGCCUGAGAGCUUCACAUGGGCACCAGGCGUCUCCCUGCUUCAGCUGUGCCGUGAAUCACGUGCAGCCCUGAAACUGCCAGUAAGCCAGCCAAGAUAUCUGAGCCUGCAAGUCUGAUCUGAUUAUCUGAUCCUCUGCGCUGUCUUACACCCUCAGCAAGGUAGAUGCGUUAGAACCAGGUCAACGUGUGGAACCCAGCUGGUGACCCACAGAAGCGUGUGGUGUGGGGAAACCCCACACAGCUGGUGACCUGAAGCGAGGCAUGCUGCGUGGCUACUACAGGGGACAAAACUGAGUCUUCCUAAGAAGCAUUCAGUAAGUUUUUGUUGAAUUCAAUUGGUCAUUUUGUCCUACCUCUUUCGAAGCUUGAACUCUUUCAGCUUUAAAAGCCAAGUUCCUUUAGAAUACUUCGGGUUUUUCUAAAGAGCAAGUAUGUCCCCUUCUCGAAAAACACUGACAUGGAUCAAAAUCCUUGGAAGGGGGUAAGGUCCGAGCAGCUAAAUAAUAGACGAGAGAUGUUAAUUUUUUGCUCUUUCUUACCCUAAGGAGGUUAAACAGUCCUGCAAACUGAGGCAUAGAGAUGUGGAGAAGUUGGUGCUCCUAUGGCCAGGAUCCUCCCUGAACUUAAACCACCUGAGGAUGUACCUGGCCUGUUGCUGGGCUGCCGCUUCCGCACCUGUAGGCAAUGAGCUGUUACUGAGCUAUACAGAGAGCCCGGCCCAGGGCUCUGCGCGGAGGCAGAGAUGCUGGUGCUCGACCUCCCGCCGGAGAACAAGCAGGGUAAUAAACCCUUU